UUGGGCGGGCCACUUGGGCCAGUCGCCCCGUCUUUCCCGGAAAGACAAAUCCGAGGGUGGAGAGCCCUCAGUCCGAUCACGAUUCUACUCCUGAAAGAUCUCUACCUCUAUUCUGUCCGAAGACCCUCGAGACUCGCAGUCGAGAGGACUUCCUGGAUCGAAGGCUCCAGGAGAUGAACCGACGGAUCGAGGAACUCCGUCACGCUCCCCCCGCUUAUGGUGAAGACAUCUGUACUGACCCUCCCUUCUCUCAAAUGAUCAUGCAAGAACUGAUCUUGCCAAACUUCAAGCUCCCUCAAUUCGAAAGCUACGAUGAGACCUCGGACCCAGUCGACCACCUGGAGGCCUUUCGGACAAUGAUGCUGCUCCAUGGC
rnacentral:lncRNA from 1 species